rnacentral:rRNA from 1 species
GACGAACGCUGGCGGCGUGCCUAAUACAUGCAAGUCGAGCGCAGGAAACUGACGGAACUCUUCGGAGGGAAGGCAGUGGAAUGAGCGGCGGACGGGUGAGUAACACGUAAGGAACCUGCCUCGAGGAUUGGGAUAACUCCGAGAAAUCGGAGCUAAUACCGGAUAGUUCAUCGGACCGCAUGGUACGUUGAUGAAAGGCGCUCCGGCGUCACCUUGAGAUGGCCUUGCGGCGCAUUAGCUAGUUGGUGGGGUAACGGCCCACCAAGGCGACGAUGCAUAGCCGACCUGAGAGGGUGAUCGGCCACACUGGGACUGAGACACGGCCCAGACUCCUACGGGAGGCAGCAGUAGGGAAUCUUCCACAAUGGACGAAAGUCUGAUGGAGCAACGCCGCGUGAGUGAUGAAGGUUUUCGGAUCGUAAAACUCUGUUGUAAGGGAAGAACACGUACGAGAGGGAAUGCUCGUACCUUGACGGUACCUUACGAGAAAGCCACGGCUAACUACGUGCCAGCCGCCGCCGUAA